rnacentral:pre_miRNA from 1 species
UGCCCUAUACCUCAGUCGCGGUGUUUUAAUUUGAAAUCACAGCGUCUGAUGUAUCGAGGCACC